UACGGGGGGGCAAGCGUUGUUCGGAAUUACUGGGCGUAAAGGGCUCGUAGGCGGUCUGUCGCGUCGGUAGUGAAAACUCAGGGCUUAACCCUGAGCCUGCUUCCGAUACGGGCAGACUAGGAGGUAUGCAGGGGAGAAUGGAAUUCCUGGUGUAGCGGUGAAAUGCGCAGAUAUCAGGAGGAACGAGCCAGCUGGCGGAAGGCGGUUCUCUGGGCAUUACCUGACGCUGAGGAGCGAAAGUGUGGGGAGCGAACAGG
rnacentral:rRNA from 1 species